rnacentral:rRNA from 1 species
GACGAACGCUGGCGGCGUGCUUAACACAUGCAAGUCGAACGGAAAGGCCCUGCUUUUGUGGGGUGCUCGAGUGGCGAACGGGUGAGUAACACGUGAGUAACCUGCCCUUGACUUUGGGAUAACUUCAGGAAACUGGGGCUAAUACCGGAUAGGAGCUCCUGCUGCAUGGUGGGGGUUGGAAAGUUUCGGCGGUUGGGGAUGGACUCGCGGCUUAUCAGCUUGUUGGUGGGGUAGUGGCUUACCAAGGCUUUGACGGGUAGCCGGCCUGAGAGGGUGACCGGCCACCUUGGGCCUGCGAUACGGCCCAGACUCCUACGGGAGGCAGCAGUGGGGAAUAUUGCACAAUGGGCGGAAGCCUGAUGCAGCAACGCCGCGUGCGUGAUGACGGCCUUCGGGUUGUAAACCGCUUUCGCCUGUGACGAAGCGGGAGUGACGGUAAUGGGUAAAGAAGCACCGGCUAACUACGUG